AUGGAGGNACUCUGAUCGCCGCGAUCCCCCGUGAGGGAAGAAGGUUUUCUGAUUGUAACCCNCUGNCUNCAGGGNCGAAAAAAAAGNCGGUCCCUGAGGAGGAACCNCCGGCUANCUCCGUGCCCACCACCCCCGGUAAUNCGUAGGGACCGAGCCGUUGUCCCGGAAUUCCUGGGUGUAAAGGGACCGUAGGCCGGGACCCCAAGUCAGAUGUGAAANCUAUGGGCCUUACCCCAUAAACUGCCAUUUGAANCUGUGGUNCUUGAGUGAAGUAGAGGUAAGCCGGAAUUCCUAGUGUACCGGUGAAAUGCGUAGAUAUUAGGAGGACCAUCCAGUGGCCGAAGGCGGCCUUNCUGGGCUUUANCUGACGCCUGAGGCCNCGAAAGCCGUGGGGACCAANCAGGAUUAGAUNCCCUGGUAGUCCCAAGGGCCGAAUUC
rnacentral:rRNA from 1 species